GAUGCGUGGCGAAACGGCAAACGCGGCAACCUGCAGGGUUGUUGGCCCAACUAAAUGGGUCUUGCGGGUUCAACUCCCGCCCGCGUCUCCA
rnacentral:tRNA from 1 species